GGAGGGGCCAUAGCUCAGUGGUAGAGCACAUGCUUUGCAUGCAGAAAACCCUAGGUUCAACCCCUGGCGCACACACCUCCA